AGCCACUUAGAUUUGAUUAUUCUUUCAGCAGUGAUGCUUGGUUUGGCAUUUCUUGGAUUCUUUUGCUCUGUUCUUGGACUGCAAUGGCUUGUUUCAAUUUUGGUGAUCCUCUGAUGGAUUUAGGUUACAAUCACAUUUAUCUCGACAUGUGUUUUUCUUCUUUUACACAAGUGUG